GGCCCUGUGGCGCGAUGGAUAGCGCAUUGGACUUCUAAUUCAAAGGUUGUGGGUUCAAGCCCCACGAGGGUCA
rnacentral:tRNA from 1 species